UCUUUUUGACAAAUCACACGCCUCUUCGUGGUGAAUAGCAGGCAACGCCGAUAAGGCGGCUAAGAUGUGAAU
rnacentral:ribozyme from 1 species